rnacentral:rRNA from 1 species
CCUACGGGAGGCAGCAGUGGGGAAUAUUGGGCAAUGGGCGCAAGCCUGACCCAGCAACGCCGCGUGAAGGAUGAAGGCCUUCGGGUUGUAAACUUCUUUUCUCAGGGACGAAGAAAGUGACGGUACCUGAGGAAUAAGCCACGGCUAACUACGUGCCAGCAGCCGCGGUAAUACGUAGGUGGCAAGCGUUAUCCGGAUUUACUGGGUGUAAAGGGGGGGUAGGCGGAAGCGCAAGUCAGUUGUGAAAACCCAGGGCUCAACCCUGGGACUGCAUUUAAAACUGUGUUUCUUGAGUGCUGGGGAGGCAAUCGGAAUUCCGAGUGUAGCGGUGAAAUGCGUAGAUAUAAGGAGGAACACCAGUGGCGAAGGCGGAUUGCUGGACAGUAACUGACGCUGAGGCGCGAAAGCGUGGGGAGCAAACAGGAUUAGAUACCCGUGUAGUC